AUCUCAAUAUCUCUAUAUAAGAUCCAUAACUCACACACAAUUUCUCACAACACAUCUGCUCUCAUCUCUCUAUUAUACAAAUGAAACAGACACAUUAUCUCCUCCACUCCCUCUCUCGAUCACACUUCAAACAAACAAACUCUCACUACCCACCACCCUCUCGGUCACCUCCACUCCCUCCCUCUGAUUUCAGUCCGGCGAACAACCACAGGGAACCGGUGGCUGCCGGUGGUCCUUUCAGGCGAAGACACCCCCCCCCUUCUCGGUUCCCCUGUAACCCGAUAACCACCAAGCACACCCCCCUUACCUUUCUUCUUCGACUCACAAUCGGAGCACCACCACCACUGUCCGGUGGUGGUGCGGCGGGUACAAUCAGGGAGGAGAGAGAGAGACUCGGGAGGAGAGAGAGAGAGACGAAACGGAGAGAGAGAGACUGAGAGAGAAAGAGAGAGAGCGGUGGAGAUAAGAAGCGGCGCCGCCGCUCAUGGCGGCGGCAGUGGCGGCACGGCGGUGGUGGUGAACUCCGACGGGUUUCACGGUGAUUCCUGCUGCUGUUGUUAAUGUUAACGAUGAGGUGGACGCCGGUGGUGGCCGGCGAUGGCUGUAGCCGCCGGUGAUGAUGAUGGCAACGGCUGGUAAUGGCGGUGGUUUACUCAGUUCAGCCCGGUUGCAGGAUUCGGGUUAUAUUUUGGGUGCAAAAUCGCCCGGGUUCACAUGGUUCACGGGUACAGGGCGUGGUAUCGGCUCGGGCUCAGUCAACUGGUCAACUCGGUCAACUCGGGUCAGACCUGGUGUGGUUCGGGUUCAGCUCAUAUCGGGUUUGGUUCGGGUCAACUCGGUCAACUCAGACAAUGCGAGUCAACCCGGUUGACUCGGUCAACUGGUUAACUCAGUCUCGGUCAACGUCACGACGCGAAAGAUUUGGUAAAGAUUAACGACGCGGUUUAUUUCGUUAAUUCAUAGUUUAUAUCUUACGUGUCAAAACAAGCUCGAACCGAACGAUUAGAAUAUAGUUUACAUUGCGAUAUAUUUGACAAAAUACAUAAAUCAUGAUUGCAUAUUGUUGAA